rnacentral:rRNA from 1 species
UAACCUACGGGACGCAGCAGUUAGGAAUAUUCGUCAAUGGGGGAAACCCUGAACGAGCAAUGCCGCGUGAGUGAUGAAGGCCCUAUGGGUUGUAAAACUCUGUUGUAAAGGAAGAAUACCUAGUAUAGGAAAUGAUGCUAGGAUGACGGUACUUUACCAGAAAGCCCCGGCUAACUACGUGCCAGCAGCCGCGGUAAUACGUAGGUGGCGAGCGUUAUCCGGAAUGAUGGGCGUAAAGGGUGCGUAGGCGGCCUGCUAAGUCUGGAGUGAAAGG